UACGUAGGGUGCAAGCGUUGUCCGGAAUUAUUGGGCGUAAAGAGCUCGUAGGCGGUCUGUCGCGUCGGCUGUGAAAACCCGAGGCUCAACCUCGGGCCUGCAGUCGAUACGGGCAGACUAGAGUUCGGCAGGGGAGACUGGAAUUCCUGGUGUAGCGGUGAAAUGCGCAGAUAUCAGGAGGAACACCGGUGGCGAAGGCGGGUCUCUGGGCCGACACUGACGCUGAGGAGCGAAAGCGUGGGGAGCGAACAGG
rnacentral:rRNA from 1 species